UGAGGGUCCGCGGCUUCAGUCUUGAAGUCAGUGAGACCAAGAACCCACCGAUUCCGGACACACUUUCAGAAUGUGACGAGGACCUGAGGGUCUGGAAAUAACUGGGAAAGAAAAGCCUUGUGGAAAGAAGACAUCUCCAGGGAAAACAUGCUGCUUCUUCAAAGACUCCAAUUUCAGAUGGCAAAAUGCAUGGAAGCUGAGAUGGACCUUCUGGAGUUUUCGAUAAACCACUGUAGCUCAGUCAGAGGUCCAAUUAUGAUGAUACCCACACAGCCCGGUCCUCCCACAGCCUACAUCCAAUCCUCUGAGGAAGCUGAGUGGCACUGCCUUUAUUCACCACAGAUGCUACAGAAUCAGCAGGUGAAGACAAAGUAAGAAGACAGGCCGUUUGUGAACGAAGAAGCAGUCCCUCACCAGACACCGGAUCUGCCAGUGCCUGGAUCUUGAAUCUGCUGGUGCCUUGAUCUUGGAUUUCCCAUUCUCCA
rnacentral:lncRNA from 1 species